GUGAGAGGCUCCAGGCUCUGCAGCUCCUGCCGCCCGUGACCGUCCUCUGCUCGUGAGAGGCUCCGGGCUCUGCAGCUCCUGCUGCCCGUGACCGUCCUCUGCUCGUGAGAGGCUCCAGGCAGUGCAGCCCCUGCUACCUGUGACCGUCCUCUGCUCGUGAGAGGCCCGGGACAGUGCAGCCGCUGCCGCCCCGAGACCUGCUCUGCUCGUGAGAGGCUCCAGGCUCUGCAGCCCCUGCUGCCCGUGACCGUCCUCCAGCACAGGAGCCCUCGGACGGACGCCCGACUCCUUAGACGCUGGGAAGUGGUGUAUUUCUGUAACCGACUACAUGCUUCCAAGUCUAGAGAACACAACCACACUUUCAGCCUGUUAUUAAUUAGUUGGGUCAGAAGUGGAGCAUCCAGGAAAUGAACCAAUGCCCAUGUGGUAUGUCAGUUUUUUUAUCUACUAAAGCAAAGGCCUGACUCCUGCUGCCUAUGCUUUGGUUUUUAUUUAAAAUGCAGAGUUGCAGAGAAAAGAUGAAAGAGAGUGAGUGAGCUAGAGAUCUCAGUGGGUCAUUCUCAAAAAGUUGCGAUUAGGGAAAUGUAAAUCAAUAUCACAAUGAAAUAUCACCCCAACCCUGUCCAAAUGAUUAUUAUUACUUGGAAGAAAGGGUAACAAAUGCUGGUGAAUAUGUGGAGAAUGAGAACUUUUAUACAAUGUUGAUGGGGUUAUAAAUUAAUUCGGUCACUGUAUA